rnacentral:rRNA from 1 species
UGAGGAAUAUUGGUCAAUGGGCGAGAGCCUGAACCAGCCAAGUCGCGUGAAGGAUGAAGGUUCUAUGGAUUGUAAACUUCUUUUGUAAGGGAAUAAAAAGAGCUACGUGUAGUUUAUUGUAUGUACUUUACGAAUAAGGAACGGCUAACUCCGUGCCAGCAGCCGCGGUAAUACGGAGGAUCCAAGCGUUAUCCGGUGUUAUUGGGUUUAAAGGGUGCGUAGGCGGAGCCUUAAGUCAGUGGUGAAAGUGUGCGGCUCAACCUUAAAAUUGCCAUUUAAACUGAAGAUCUUGAGUG